UUGGUCCUUUUGGCAGUAGGGGGUGAAGAUUGGGUAUCCACGAGGAAGCAUUGUUUACCCCACUUUUUGUGGCACGGGUGGGUUCUGUCACUUGUAUUUUCAAUCUGUUAACGCAUUGCACGUGAUGAUCAAUAUUGUAUUGAAACAGCAGGGAGCAGGUCUCGAACCCUCGACCUUCUAGCCCGAGGUCCGGCGCGCUAUCGACUGUGCCACAAAAGCAUGCUCGUGCGGCAGAGUUGAUUUCCGCGCUUAUAAACCCAGGGUCGAUAAAAUAUGUAAACAAUAGCCGAGCAUGACCGAAGCACAUUUCCUCGCAAUCAGCUGGAAGUGUUUGCGUUCUGUUAAGCUCGGCCAUAUUGUGUAAGUGUUUGUCACAUGCGAAUUGCAUCAGUAUUGAAAAUAAAAACCAGAAAUACAAACGAUAAACAGAUCAACAUCGGCCUACUUAAGCUUGGGUUGAUAACACUCCUCGGUGGAUAUUUUGUCUCACAUUCCUAUCUGCAAAAGAACCAACCGAUACAACAAAUUCAGCUGUUGGAGGGAAAAGUGUGAUGGUGUGAGCACUUUUGCAAGCAGAGCAGAGCCACAAUGGUAAACGUAUCAUGAGAAUGAGGUAAGGACGUGUUUGCAAAAUAAAAUCAAUAUGCUUACCACUUAUUUAUGUGUUCAUGAACCUGCCAAGUGUGCUAUGUGCCAUCCAACAUUGAAUCUGACUAGUCAUGGCUUUUUUUUCUACGGCAGAUGAACCCAAAGCCACCAUGGGUCAGACGAAUGGCAACGGUUGGCCACAGAAUGGUGCCAUCUCCACCAAUGGCCACAUGCCAACACACCUCAAGGGGGCCAACGCUGCCGUGCUGUCGACCAGCUUCUCCUCGCCAUGGGGACUGCUGGCCUUGGCUACCUCCACUGAAAACGGGCUGUCAUCAUGGCCAGCUUUUCAGGAGGCGGAGGAGACCCGGCGGCGUUCAGCCCAUUAGAUGUGCGGUUCACUACACCUGAUGGGAAGCCCCAGCAGCUGCGUGUCCCACCGGCCCUCCUGGGAGGCCAUGGCCAGCGACCUGAGGGACACCCUGCACUACGGACACUACCAUGGCUUCGGGGACACGGCAGAGGACCUGGCUGAGGAGCACAGCAGCUUGGUGCACGUCGAGCAGCUUUACAACCAGGCCGUGCUCAGUACCUUGCACCUCUACCACGGAUCCUAAAUAGGGGGAGGCUGGCCCUUCCCAAGUAAGUAGUCUGUCUAUCUACCUGCCCUGGCGGUGGCACAACUUUGCCUACAGCAGCUAGCCUGCCUUAAAACUCAAUGGUUACCAUAACAUCGUUGUUGCACUGGGGAUGGAGAGAAGAGUCACUUUGGCCCAUCUACCAAAAGGAACAAAUAGCAUUGUUGUUUUUGUAUUUGAUAUUUGAAAUCCUUAGUCUAUUAUUGUCUGUGUUGUAGCACAACAGAUGUGAUUGUGGUAAGCUGAUCAUAGUUUGUCUGGUGAUGGUAUUGCAUACAAUGCAUUAGUUUGUUUCUCAAAGGUGCGGGUUAUUAGAAUUAUGAGUUAUGAUAAGACGGCGAUGCCAGAUUUUUGUGUUAGACAGAAAGCGUAAAUGACUUGUGUUUGGUAUGUAGGUUCUGUGCCAACAAUUAUGUUAAAUCUAUUAAGUUUUAAAUCUAUGUUUUAUUGAGUUUGUUUUUACCUUGUUGUUCCUUGUCUAUACUUGGAGCACUACAAACAGUAUUUCUCAUGAAGACAAUCUAUAAACUGACUUAUCGCAGUCCUUUUUACCUUCAUUUUUUGGGGUCUUCUGAAAUAAAAAUUUGAUCAAAUUGCAUGCCUGACAAAGUCUUCCCUUUUGCUUCUAUGGCAUUGCUAAAAUGUAUGACUAUUUUGAAUGAUCUUUUCUUCUUAUCUUGCUUGUGCAGUUAGCAUUUAUUUGAAAUGGGGAUUAUAGGGCUGUGUUGGACUUAAUAAUACAUAUGUACAAUCAUGUGCUUUCAUGAAAUACUACUGUAAUCGAAUCAAAUUUUAUCACAAGCGUUGAAUACAACUGGUGUACACUUUACAGUGAAGUGAAAUGCUUGCUUACCCCAAUGAUCCAGAGUUUUAAAAAGAAAAUGGUAACUAACACAUGAAAAAUAAAAUAACAUACACAAGAAUGGA